GGACUACCGGGGUUUCUAAUCCCGUUCGCUCCCCUGGCUUUCGCACCUGAGCGUCAGGUACUCCCCAGGACACUGCCUUCGCCUUCGGUGUUCCUCCGGAUCUCUACGCAUUUCACCACUCCACCCGGAAUUCCGUGUCCCUCUGAAGCCCUCAAGUCGAUCAGUUUUCAAAGCACUUUGGCAGUUAAGCCACCAACUGUCACUCCAAACUUAAUCGACCGCCUGCGUGCGCUUUACGCCCAGUAACUCCGGACAACGCUUGCCCCCUACGUAUUACCGCGGCUGCUGGCACGUAGUUAGCCGGGGCUUGUUCCUCUGGUACCGUCCUUGCUCGUCCCAAAGAAAAGCAGUUUACAACCCGAAGGCCGUCUUCCUGCACGCGGCGUUGCUCGGUCAGACU
rnacentral:misc_RNA from 1 species